rnacentral:rRNA from 1 species
AUUGAACGCUGGCGGCAGGCUUAACACAUGCAAGUCGAGCGAGUGGCGGACGGGUGAGUAAUGUCUGGGAAACUGCCUGAUGGAGGGGGAUAACUACUGGAAACGGUAGCUAAUACCGCCUACCAUCGGAUGUGCCCAGAUGGGCUUGGCUAGUAGGUGGGGUAAAGGCUCACCUAGGCGACGAUCCCUAGCUGGUCUGAGAGGAUGACCAGCAACAGUGGAAAGGAGACACGGUCCAGAAGCCUACGGGAGGCAGCAGGGGGGAAGAGUGCACAAUGGGCGCAAGCCUGAUGCAGCCAUGCCGCGUGUAUGAAGAAGGCCUUCGGGUUGUAAAGUACUUUCAGCGGGGAGGCGUUACCCGCAGAAGAAGCACCGGCUAACUCCGUGCCAGCCGCCGCGGUAAUAC